UAACUCAUGAAAAGGUUGUUGCUGUUGGU
rnacentral:piRNA from 1 species